UUACAGCUCAUAAAAGCAUCGUGGACCCAA
rnacentral:piRNA from 1 species